rnacentral:rRNA from 1 species
CCUACGGGUGGCAGCAGUGAGGAAUAUUGGUCAAUGGACGAGAGUCUGAACCAACCAAGUAGCGUGAAGGAUGACUGCCCUAUGGGUUGUAAACUUCUUUUAUAAAGGAAUAAAACGAGGCACGUGUGGGAUUUUGCAUGUACCAUAUGAAUAAGGAUCGGCUAACUCCGUGCCAGCAGCCGCGGUAAGACGGAGGAUCCGAGCGUUAGCCGGAUUUAUUGGGGUUAAAGGGAGCGUAGUUGGGUUGUUAAGUCAGUUGUGAAAGUUUGCGGCUCAACCGUAAAAUUGCAGUUGAUACUGGCAGUCUUGCGUCCAGUUGAGUUGGUCGUCAUUC